ACAGCCUCGUGGCUGCUUUACAAACAAUGCAAUCCUAUGCUAGGAAAAGUGCAUAAAAAGACAAGCUGUGGAUAAGCGCAGGCCUAAGGUUGCAUUCUCCUGACUCUUAAGACGCUGUUUUGUUAACGCCACUCUGGAUGACUAAUGGUGGAGCCACUAUACAGAACCUUUAUUUUUGUUUCCAUAAUACGCCCCCAUGGGUUACAUCAUCAUGUUCCGAAGGUGUGCACGCAGUCGCCGCUUACUGCCCCAUGCCACAAGUCGACGGAGGCCUGGUAUUAUAGCAAUAAUGCAGGGCGUUGUAAAUCGGUGCCACCUCGCUCUUGCGUUGACGGAGGCAACAGUUUCCCUACUCUGCGUGAAUGCAAAAAAAGGUGUCAACCUAUCAAUAAUACGAAGCCUGAAAUAUGUCUAAUGGUGGCCAUACACACUUGUGGAGAGAGGUAUCCUGCUUGGAGUUUUGAUAUUACUGACAGGCGUUGCAAGAUGCUGGAGCACACUGCUUGCAGAGGAAAGAUAAUGGUCUUCGCAUCAGAGACAGUUUGUCAGGCUCUCUGUUUACCUCAUCAAAUGCCCAAAGCGAUUUGCAGUUGGAAAGCAUAUCCUCAAAAGUGCUCAACAUUUCACAACAACAGAUGGUUUUUUGCGUUACAAAAAGGCGUCUGCACUACUCUUCCUGGCAAUCUCUGCGUAAGAAGUGGGAACAGCUUCCCGACGUAUGCAGCUUGCAUGAAGCGGUGCAGUU